CUUCUAAGUGCUUGUAACUGGGCACGUCUCACUUUGGUGGAUCCUUGAUAUUUCAGUUUCAUGGAAUCCCAGAUGGCCUUUGAAGUCUCCUUGUUGAGUAUAGUUUCAAUGAUGGUUCUGUCAAUGGCUUGAAAUAGUGAUAUGGCUCUGAUACCAUAUGUUGAGAAGAGACAGAGAAUAUGGUUGAAGUAAUAAGAAGAUUUGCAGAGAAGAAUAAUGAAGAGAGGAAUAGAGAAGAGAAACAAUGGAAUACAAUCUUCAACUGCUAUCUCACGGCUCAACAG